GGACCCGUGGCGCAGUGGUAGCGCGUGAGAUUCCAGUUCUGGGUUAGAUUCGCGAACAAUGGAGUUCCUCAAGGUCAUCCGUUCAAGUCGGGUCGGGUUCA
rfam:Phlebia centrifuga strain FBCC195 PHLCENscaffold_669, whole genome shotgun sequence.